GUCUCGAUGGUCUAAUGGUUAUGAUUUGCGUCUCACAUUGUGGCCACGCAAGGUUCCCAGUUCGAUCCUGGGUCGAGACA
rnacentral:tRNA from 1 species